UAUAGGAAUUAACCAAAAGCGGGUGAUUAUAAUCGAACGGGGAGCGGCACACAGCAGCGAUAUCAUUCCCAAAUCACUCCGUUAAUUCGCUCAUUCGCAAAACGGUAUCAAGCAGGCAGCCCUGACGAUUCUCGACAGCUUAGAUUCCAAUCAGAAUCCCGAAGACGAGAGCCGAACAUCCACCGUGAAAUUCCCUAGUGAACGCAUAUCCAGACAAAGAGGGCUCUCAUCGAGAGCCCUUUAAAUGCUGCUUCAAGGCCUUGUGCACCGAACACCUCGCAAGUACGGUGGAAGUCACUAAUCGAUGGCCAAUCGUGACUAGGCACAUGAAGAAGCCAGUCGUCCCUGUGGUAGUGGAAAGCCGAGCCAGUUCGAAUACCGAUCGAAAGCUCCAGUCGCCUCACUGAGUAUUGGUGACCGAUUUCUCAUCUCAACCAGUACGAGCGCUUUCCUUACUGUGUGCGGUGGUUCGGAUAUUCGUCGUCAAAAGGAAGCGAAUCAAGCGCGUUGGUCGUGCUUAGCUGGCACCGGUGCGAUUGUGAAAGUUACGGGAACGAAGUUCGGUUGGUGCCAGGUGAAUCUGAGCCGGAGUGCUGCCGCUGCAAUAGCUUGUGGGGGAAGGUUUGCUGAAAGGGCUACGGCCAUAUGGAUCUCAGCAUAGUGUGGUGAAUUACGAGAAGGCCUGCGGGCAAUGGUGUGUGUAAGAGCCUGGGUUAUGUGCUAUUGGUAACACCGUUAAGCUGCAUGCAAGAGUGUUGGUGUAAACAAGGAAUAAGUGAGACGUGAGCAAACAUCUAAUUGGGGAUUCCCCGAUGCACUUGAUGCAUCGGUUUGUUUACAUCGAGAAGGAAGGAAUCUCAUUGAGAAUAGGGUGGCUACGUGGAAUUGGAAAUUAAAAUACCGAAAGAGAAAUUAAUCAGCAGCAGUGCAUGGGAGUGCGUUGCAUGUGCAUGGAUGCAGAAGAAACACCCGGGGCCCCGUGAUCACCGCUGAGGAGGACGUUUCGGAGAAUUAGCAAGUAAGCUGAAUUUUGUGUAAUUUAUGUAUGUAGUUAGAAUAUAAGCACAAUGUCAUAUCAUCCACUCAAUAUUUCGAAUAGUCUCAGAUAAAGCAUUUAAGAAGAAUCAUAUUACAUUAUCCAGGCAUCGCGAUUCUCGUACCUUGGUACCAAAACCUAUCGUGUACAUCAAUAAAU